rnacentral:rRNA from 1 species
ACCAGACUCCUACGGGAGGCAGCAGUGGGGGAUAUUGCACAAUGGGGGGAACCCUGAUGCAGCGACGCCGCGUGGGUGAAGGAGCGUUUCGGCGCGUAAAGCCCUAUCGGCAGGGAAGAAGGAGGACGGUACCUGACUAAGAAGCCCCGGCUAACUACGUGCCAGCAGCCGCGGUAAUACGUAGGGGGCAAGCGUUAUCCGGAUUUACUGGGUGUAAAGGGAGCGUAGACGGCGCUGCAAGUCCGGAGUGAAAGUCCAUGGCUUAACCAUGGUACUGCUCUGGAAACUGUGGAGCUUGAGUGCGGGAGGGGCAGGCGGAAUUCCUAGUGUAGCGGUGAAAUGCGUAGAUAUUAGGAGGAACACCGGCGGCGAAGGCGGCCUGCUGGACCGUAACUGACGUUGAGGCUCGAAAGCGUGGGGAGCAAACAGGAUUAGAUACCCCGGUAAAA